UGUCGGCUGCGGGACGUCCUGUCAGGGCCCUCUGACGUGCUGCGUGUGCACAGGUGGCUGCGCGGUGCCCGUCAGUGCGCCGCCCGUGGCGGGGUCUGUGUUCGGGGACGGGUGUGUUUGUGGCUGCAGUUGCCGCAGUUCGUCCCGGCCCUCCAGACCUCCCCAGCCCCACUCUCGGCCUCGUGGUCCUGGCAUGCCCGCUGCUUCUGCCCCGGAUGCUUCCUCUGGGCUCCGCCCCCAACACGUCCACGUCACGCCUGCUGCCUUAGUCCUGCAGAAAUCCUGCGCUUUGGAUUUGUGCCACCUUCUGUAAGUUGAAAGCUUCUGGACCAAGUGCGGCAGUGAGAUGGAGUCAGAAGAGGAGGUAUUGCCAUCAGAGAGUCAGCAAAAGUGGUUGACCAAGCCCAAAGGAGGGUGCUGAGGGGAGUUGAUGACCUGGACUUUUUCAUAGGGGAUGAAGCCAUAGAUAAACCCACGUAUGCCACAAAGUGGCCAAUAAGACAUGGAAUAAUUGAAGACUGAGAUCUAAUGGAGAGGUUCAUGGAACAAGUUAUUUUUAAUUUUCCCUGAGCUGAACCUGAGGGCCAUCACUUUUUGAUGAGUUUUAGAAUUAAGACUCUCAUCCUCAGAAACCUUCCUAGCAGAUUUGCCCUGUCUGUCCGUGCCCAGUGUGGGCCCUAGAGGGGAACAAAAUUACUUUGGUACAUUUUGAUGAGUCAAGAUUCUCUCCUGUUGCUGGUGAGGGGACCACAUCUCAUCACCUGGCCCCAAGAGACAGAACCUCCUCUGAAUACACCAGAAAAUAAAGAAUAUCUUGCAGAAAUUAUGUUCAAAUUAUUUAAUAUACCGGGACUCAACAUUGCAGUUCAGGUGGAAGGUUAGGUAAUUGGAAGCUGCAUCAAACACAUCCCUAUUGCAGAUAGAGAUAUGUAUUUCAUUCAACAGCUGCCAAGGGAGAGGGAGGUGGGAAUCCCUCCUGAGCAACCACUGGAGACCACAAAGGCCAUUAAGGAGAAGUACUGUCACAUUUGCCCUAAUAUAGUCAAGAAGUUUGCCAAGUAUGACGUGGAUCAGCGGAAGUGGAUCAAACAGCAAACAGGGAAAAAUGCCAUAAGCCAGAAGAAAUUCAUUAUCGAUGUUGGCUAGGAAAGUUUCCCAGGCCCUGAAAUUUUCUUUCACCCAGAGAUACUGAUUAACAUGCCAAGUAUAAUGCCUGGCCCAGGAAGCUCAGGAGAUGAAUCAAAUAACUUGACCAUGAAGGAGCACUGAGGAGGAGGCAGAGAUGAUCUCUGGCAUGGAAUCAACACACUUAAAGACUGGGAUUUGGAAGUGAGAAGGAGUACAUGGAAGUGAUUCAGGAAGACAAGGAAAUGAGACACAAGUGGCAACAUUUGUCAAAGUUCUAUGCAUUUGUUCCUUUGGAUUCAAGUGAAACAUCAGGAGUCAAUUCUUAACCCAAUGUUGGUUUGUUCUCACCAACCUCUUUGCCCUGCUAUUGGAAAAUAUAUUACAUUUCUGUAUGUUAUAUGCCCACAGAUACAAUUAAAUGUAUACUGCUUAAUGAUUUUUAAACAAGAUAAGAAAGGAUAAGAAAUAGGCAAUUAUACUCCUUUAUAAUUGCAUAAUUACAUUUAUCAGUGUUCUUUGUUUUGUGUGUGUGUGUAUUCAAAUUACUGUCUUGGGUCACUUGCUUUCAGCCUGAAGAACUAACUUUAGCAUGUCUUGUAAGGUAGGUCUAUUGGCAGCAGAUUCUUUCAGAUUUUGUUUUCCAAAUGUCUUUUUAUUUCAUCUUCACUUUUAAAUGAUAAUUUUGCUGGAUAUAUGAUUCUUGAUUAAGAGCUUUUAAAAUUUGAGGGCUGAGAAUAGGUUAUCCUAUUGCCUUCAGCCCUCUAUUGUUUCUGAUGAUAAGUCAACUGUUAAUCUUAUACGAGUUUUCUUAAGCAAGAUGUCAUUUUUCUCUUGCUGCCUUCAAGAUUUUCUUUGGCAUUUUUACUAUGUGUCUAUUCAUGGGUCUUUUUGAGUUUAUCCUACUUGCAGUUUGUUGAACCUCCUGGAUAUAUAGAUUUAAAUUUUUUAGGAAAUGGGAAUUUUUUAGCCACUAAUUUUUCAAAUAUUUUUCUGCUCCUUUACUUCUCUGUUCUUCUGGUGCUGCCUUUACAUGUCUGUUUGUAUACAUUAGUGUCCCACAUUUCUCUGAGACUUUGCUCAUUUUUCCUUCAUUCUUUUUUCACUCUGUUCUUGGAUUGCAUAAUUUCUAUUGAUCUAUUCUUAAGUACUUUUACUUUCUGCCCGUUUAAGUGUAUUAUUGAUUCCAUCUAGUGAAUUUUUAAAUUUCAGUUAUUGCUCCUUUCAGUUCCAAAAUUUCCAUUUGGUUAUUUUUAAUAAUUUCUGUCUCUUUAUUAAUGUUCUCUAUGUGAUGUGACACUGUCUUCAUGCUUUACUUCUAAAAUCAUGGUUUUCUUUGUUUCUUUGAACAUAUUUAUAAUGGCUUCUUUUCUCACAUCAGGUCUCUCCUGCAGGUGGCUUUAUUGCCUGCUAUUCUUCUGGUAUCUAGGCCAUAAUUUCCUGCUUAUUUUGCAUGUCUCAUAUUUUUUGGAAAAUGAACAUUUUAGAUAUUGCAGCAACUUUGGUUACUGGCUUCAUCUCUCCCCUCUGUCAGUGCUUGUCAUUGUUGUUAGCUUGUUUACUUGUUUAAAGACUAACUGGAUUAUUUUAGUGUUGUCCAUUCCCUUCUCUUCCUCCUCUAUCCCCUAAACAGACACAGGGUAAAGCCUCUGAUGUUUUUCCUCAGGGAUUCAUCCUUGGACAUGCCCAGCCACUUUGGGAUAACAAGGUUUUAGCAGGACUUAGGCAGUGUUUGUCUAGUUACCUGACCACACUAACCUAUGAAACUCCACUAACUGCUGGUUAAAAGCUCUAUUGUUCAUAACAAUGCCCUGGAGAAUAAAUUAUUUACACCCUAAUCCAGUCAAAUUAAGGCUGCUAUGAAGGGACAGUUCCUGAUGGUCAAAGUUUGAAAUUUAUUCAGACUCUAGUUCUUGCAGCUGGUUUCUUAUUUUUCUCCAGCAACUAGUUGGCUUAUCAUUUAGCCUGUAUCUUCAAUGAAUUUAUCAGUCUCCUCCCCAUUGCCUCUCACCAACACUUCUACUGUUUUUGAAAGCACACUUAGAUUUGAACUUCAUAUGCUGUUGCAAAUAAAGUUGGCUCCUUUGGGGAGAUAAUUUGAGCUCUCUGUUCUAUGGUCUGCCUUUCCUCCCAGGGAAAAUCUCUGAGCCACAACUCUGGUGCUGGAGUAAGGAACAAUAGGUCAAUUCUAAGUGACAGCCCAGUUUGAAGAAGUAAGUGCUCAGUGGAUAUAUGGGCAAGAGCCCCAGGUGUCCUUGGCUUGUCUCCCUUGGCACAAGCCCCUGUCCUAUGAGCUGAGUCAAUAGCAAUUGGGACCUCAAUGUCCUACCAUGCCCAAGGUAGAACCUUUGUCUCAUGAGAGGAAACAUGGUGGAAGAAUGGGGCCCCCACCUGUUGGCUGCAGUAGUACAGAACUUUGCCUCAGCAACAAGUAUCUAGGGGCAGUAUGAGAAAUGCUAAUGUCAUGUCCUUCCCAGGAAGACAACCCUCCAACCAGGACCUGGGGGGAGUCAAAAACUUGUGUUCUCGGUUGUACAAGUCUGGGUGGAGUUCCCAGCUCAAUGAGUGGAGAGGGGAAAAGUGUGGAUCUUCAAAUACUAAAGACUCAUCAUUUUAUGGAGCUUUAGUAAAUAUUCUUUAGUAAAUGUGUCUUCAUUUGCUGUAUAUCUGUAGCGGCAUUUCCAUUUGUGUAUGCUCAUAAGGCCAACUAUUUUUAAAUGUGUUUUAAAAAUAGUUUUCAUCAGUUUUUUUGAGGAUUGAUUCUGAGUUGCACACCAUCGUGCCAGAAGUGGAGCCAGGAAGGGGAAACUGAUACAGUAUAGAUUAGCAUUCUCUUUAACUGAGGGCUUGCUGUAUCUUUGGUUGCUAGUGGAAGGCCUAAGAUAUAUUUGUAGUAUUAAAAAUAAAAAUUAAAAAAUAAUUUUCUAAUGUUAGUAUGUUAGAAGCAAAGCAUAAGAUGGCAAUUCCUGUAGAUGAUUUGUUGCUUGAAUCCUCUGAGAAGAAAUCUUUAGAGAACUGGAGACAUAGGAGGAUGCAAUUUCCCAGGCAUUUCUCAAGGGAGAUCAUGUAAGCAUUUCUAGAAGCCAGCACUCAAAGCAUCUUGGGAUGGAUACUCUGCUGUAAAGAGACUAAGAGAGUUCAAUAUCAGCUAUCAAAAUCAACCUCAUAAAAAUAUUCAUAUUAAAGAGU